ACCAAUCUCAAAGCCUCUCCAGCUGCCCAUAAACCCUGAAGAAGAAAUGUGUGGAAAGUUUUUUUCCUAGAUUAAACCUGGCUGUGAUUUUCCGACCAAAUUCAGCUGUUUAUUCUUCCCAGAACUCAAACCCAAAUUUCAAUUUCGGUUUCAUAAAAUCUAAAAAAAUCCCAUUUAUCUUUUAACCUCAAAAUCAAAAAUAACAUCUGAAAUUCCCUUUAAAACGACAGUCAUAUCAAUUUCCUGAGGUCUAAGCAAACCCUAAAUCCCCAUUUCUUCCGAACCCUUAAGUAAGAUUAUUUUUUCUUUCAUGCGGAACCUCAACCAUCUCCCGAAUGAGAUUUUACUAGACAUCGUAACUCGUUUGCCGAUUGAAUCCAUACUAGACUGCAAAUCCGUAUGUAGACAAUGGCGAAAUCUUGUUUCUCAUAAUCCAUCUUUCUCUCCAUUGCACUUAUCUCGUCUGAAUGAUAUUGAUUCUGGUAAGAAAUGUUUUUUAGUAUUAUAUGAUAAACAAGUACUUCAUUAUUUUGAUUACGAUGUGAAUGAUGAUGAGACACCCAUUCGUAGUAUCAGAAGGAUCAAUUUUACCCCUCCGUUAACUUGUCUGUAUAAGGUUGUUGGUUCGAUUAACGGUUUAGUCUUUUUUUAUGGAUAUAAAGAUGAGAUUGGUUGUGUUUGUAAUCCGGUGACCAAAGAAAGUGUUAUGAUUCCAAAAAUUAGCAGAGAUUGUCAUAAUCACUAUAAUACUAGGGCGAUAGGAUUUGGUUACCUUCCUUUGACUGAUGAAUAUAAAGUUGUUGGAUUGUAUGAUACUAGAGAUUUUGGUUGUCUAGAGGUUGCAGUAUACACUCUUGGAAGUGCCAAUAAGUGGAGAAAAGCUGAGAGGUUGUGUGCUGCAGUUGCAUUGUAUGUUUAUGGUAAGUUUGCUUAUGGAGCUCUUUAUUGGAGGGAUGUAAAUACAGGAAGUGUUUUUGCUUUUGAUUUGACUGAGGAGAAAUUUAGUGAACAUCUUCGACCACCUACUUUGCUACAAAACGGUGCUUGGGUCAAUCAUACUCUAGGGGUUUUAGAUGGGGUAUUGUAUUAUGCUAUCAGAGAUAAACGUCAAGUCGACAAAUGCUUUGAAAUUUGGCUACUAAGAAAGAAGAACGAUAUUGCUCACAUGAAACAGCAGGGGGAACACGAGCUGUUGGGUUGGAGUAAAGAGUUAAGUAUUCGUGAAGAUAAGCUAUUAGCCUUUACCAAGAGUCGCAUUGUUCUAUGUUACAAUUUGUGGUUUCUCGGCAUAUAUGACACAAUAGCUUCAACCUCGAGAAAGCUUAUAGAUUUUCCUGCAUUUAGUAAAAUACUCCCUCACAAGAACACCUUAGUUUCAAUGAAAGAAUUAAGAGAAGAAGACAAACAAAUAGUGGAGUCGGCUGAAUUGAGGAGACAGAAAGCUGUGAUUUGCUGACAAAGCAGCUAGCAAGAUGAGAUCCAUGACUACAAUUAUUAACUGUUGGUUUGCGCAAAUGAAUAUGAAUAGAUGCGUAGUUGGUGAUAAAUGGUCCAUGAGGAUUUUGUGGCUCUGUGCUAUUGGAAGUGCUGCUUGUGGAUGGUUGGUGUAGUCAGACAGGUCCAGAACAGGUCUAGAGCGUUUGCUGAAAGCUUGAAGGUCAUGGAUGCUGCAGAUAGCUAGAGUGGUGAAGGAGCUUAAAGAAACAGUCAAGUCAUCUCAAUAUGCGUACAUUGUCUCUAAAACCUUUUCUUAUGCUUCUUUGUAUUUCAAGUCAAAAUGUUUUGUUUAGGUAUGCAGUGACUGUGUGUCUUACUGUGGUUGCAAACUAACAUUUGGUUUGGUAUUCUGAUUUAAUCUUCUCCAUCUUGAGACUAAACCUAGUAUGGUGGUAGGUUGUGAAUAAGCAAAUAACCCAAUACGAAAAUUCAGUACGUUUCA